rnacentral:rRNA from 1 species
CUGGCUCAGGAUGAACGCUAGCUACAGGCUUAACACAUGCAAGUCGAGGGGCAGCAUUGGAGUAGCAAUACUCAGAUGGCGACCGGCGCACGGGUGAGUAACACGUAUCCAACCUGCCGCUUACUCGGGGAUAGCCUUUCGAAAGAAAGAUUAAUACCCGAUGGUAUAAAGAGUUCGCAUGUUCUCUUUAUUAAAGAAUUUCGGUAAGCGAUGGGGAUGCGUUCCAUUAGAUAGUUGGCGGGUAACGGCCCACCAAGUCUACGAUGGAUAGGGGUUCUGAGAGGAAGGUCCCCCACAUUGGAACUGAGACACGGUCCAAACUCCUACGGGAGGCAGCAGUGAGGAAUAUUGGUCAAUGGACGAGAGUCUGAACCAGCCCAAGUAGCGUGAAGGAUGACUGCCCUAUGGGUUGUAAACUUCUUUUAUAAGGGAAUAAAGUGAGGGACGUGUCCCUUUUUGUAUGUACCUUAUGAAUAAGGAUCGGUUAACUCCGUGCCAGCCGCCGC